CGUACACUCCUACGGGAGGCAGCAGUGAGGAAUAUUGGACAAUGGGUGGAAGCCUGAUCCAGCCAUCCCGCGUGCAGGAAGACGGCCCUAUGGGUUGUAAACUGCUUUUAUCUGGGGAUAAACCUACUUACGUGUAAGUAGCUGAAGGUACCAGAAGAAUAAGCACCGGCUAACUCCGUGCCAGCAGCCGCGGUAAUACGGAGGGUGCAAGCGUUAUCCGGAUUUAUUGGGUUUAAAGGGUCCGUAGGCGGACUGAUAAGUCAGUGGUGAAAUCCGACAGCUUAACUGUCGAACUGCCAUUGAUACUGUUAGUCUUGAGUAAGGUUGAAGUGGCUGGAAUAAGUAGUGUAGCGGUGAAAUGCAUAGAUAUUACUUAGAACACCAAUUGCGAAGGCAGGUCACUAAGUCUUAACUGACGCUGAUGGACGAAAGCGUGGGGAGCGAACAGGAUUAGAAACCCCAGUAGUCCCA
rnacentral:rRNA from 1 species